ACGUUGCACCAUGGCGAACAGUGUUCUUUUAAGUUUGACCUCAAAUCAGGUAGGAAUACCCGCUGAACUUAAGCAUAUCAAUAAGCGGAGGAAAAGAAACCAACCGGGAUUGCCUUAGUAACGGCGAGUGAAGCGGCAAAAGCUCAAAUUUGAAAUCUAGUACCUUCGGUGCUCGAGUUGUAAUUUGUAGAGGGAUACUUUGGGACCGUUCCUUGUCUAUGUUCCUUGGAACAGGACGUCAUAGAGGGUGAGAAUCCCGUGUGGCGAGGAGUGCGGUUCUAUGUAAAGUGCCUUCGAAGAGUCGAGUUGUUUGGGAAUGCAGCUCUAAGUGGGUGGUAAAUUCCAUCUAAAGCUAAAUAUUGGCGAGAGACCGAUAGCGAACAAGUACAGUGAUGGAAAGAUGAAAAGAACUUUGAAAAGAGAGUGAAAAAGUACGUGAAAUUGUUGAAAGGGAAGGGCAUUUGAUCAGACAUGGUGUUUUGCGCCCUCUGCUCCUUGUGGGUGGGGGACUCUCGCAGCUCACUGGGCCAACAUCAGUUUUGGUGGUCGGAUAAAUCCGUAGGAAUGUGGCUUGCCUCGGCAAGUGUUAUAGCCUGCGGGAAUACGGCCAGCCGGGACUGAGGACUGCGACUUUUGUCAAGGAUGUUGGCAUAAUGGUUAAAUGC
rnacentral:rRNA from 1 species